UUCCCAACCCAGGGAUUGAACCUGCGUCUCUUGUGUCUCCUGCAUUGACAGGUGGAUUCUUUACCACUGAGCCACCUGGGA
rnacentral:tRNA from 1 species